rnacentral:lncRNA from 1 species
CAUUACUUUUUCUUAUCUUUCUAAUAUCAAUUGUAAGUUAAAAAAUUAUCCCAUCCUCCAUUCUCUUUCCCCAUUUCCCAGCCUAUCCUUCCUCAUCUUCUCCACCUCCUUUAUCCUCCUUCUCCUCUCUUCUCUUUCCCUUGCUUUCUCCCUCCUGUCCUUUUCGUCCCCCUUCGCCUUCUCCUCCUCCCCAUUCUCUUUCCCACUCCUCCCUCACUCUUCCCCAUCGGCCUCCCUCACUUUCUUCUCUUUGUCAUUUCCUCAUCUCCUUCUCAAUCUCUUCCUUCUGUUAUUUUGUUUUGCUUUUGCUUAUAUUUUGGAUUGAGGCAGUAAAACUGUUUCUGCUUUGGUGUGAUUUGUUGACUGGUCCUCACCAGCAAGGGAAUGACCUCGUAUGCUGAUACAUUUCAUAGUGAAUAACUGCUACAUGGCUGUCUUAUGAUAGUACAGUCCGUAACAGGUAGAGCAUUGCAUCAGCUGUGCACCUGAAUUGGAAUAUGAUGCCCUAGAACUGGACAUGUGGAGAACCCAGGAGCAAUCUUGAACUCGGAGGAAAUAGCUGUCCUUCCUGGUUUUCAUGUUCCUCAUAGCCUGUAGCUGUGUGCUCUACUUGAAACUUUUCAAUCCUCCUUGGAUGACAGCAAAGUUAGUUAUUAUUCCCUAUAGCGGUGCUGUACAAUGGAAAUAUGUGAACCACAAAUGUAAUUUUAUGUUUUAUUGCCACAUUAAGAAGAGUGAAACAAAACAGGUGACCGAAAAGCACAGCAGCCC